AGCCAUGCGGUGAUCACAAAGUGAAUUAUUCUUUUGCCUUUUACUAAAGAAUACCGUGUGCACGCCGUAAAUAGCGGCAUAUGCUUAUUUUUGGAGGGGUUCUCUUCAUUGAGUUCC
rnacentral:snRNA from 1 species